UCUGUCUUAGUGCGGGCGGGUGAGUAACGCGUGGGCAACCUGCCCUGUACCGGGGGAUAACACUUAGAAAUAGGUGCUAAUACCGCAUAAUAGGGAAUACCGCAUGGUAAUCCUUUGAAAACUCCGGUGGUACAGGAUGGGCCCGCGUCUGAUUAGCCAGUUGGCGGGGUAACGGCCCACCAAAGCGACGAUCAGCAGCCGGCCUGAGAGGGUGGACGGCCACACUGGGACUGAGACACGGCCCAGACUCCUACGGAAGGCAGCAG
rnacentral:rRNA from 1 species